rnacentral:rRNA from 1 species
UACGGAGGGUGCAAGCGUUGCUCGGAAUUAUUGGGCGUAAAGGGUAGGUAGGUGGUCUCAUUUGUCUGGGGUGAAAGCCUUGAGCUUAACUCAAGAAGUGCCCCGGAAACGGUGAGACUCGAGUCCUGGAGAGGGUCGUGGAAUUCCCGGUGUAGCGGUGAAAUGCGUAGAGAUCGGGAGGAACACCAGAGGCGAAGGCGGCGACCUGGACAGGUACUGACACUCAACUACGAAAGCGUGGGGAGCAAACAGG